AACUGAGGAAUGAUGAGUCCUCGAGUGUCCCACUGAAUGACUGCAGGGCUGGAUCAACUCUGGAUGAGCAGUGAGGAAACCCAGAAAACUGUCCAGCUAUACAGUAAACAUUUUACACUCUGGAGACAGACUCAUAGAAGAAACAUGGGCUGACAUGAAGAGCAACAGCAAAACAAAUGCUGUGAAUAGUGUAGAGAUCGAAGUCAUACAAGGCAGGAAGGAGAAGUAAGAAAUGUGGCUAUUCAACACAGGAUGACUGUGAGCCCUUACUGAGACGUGACCAUGAAAGGAGAAGAUGAUUGAUCCAGGCUUCAACAGCUAGCAUGUUAUUGCCAGUAAUUCAAGAAUCUGUCUAUGCAGUGGGGAUGUAUGACUUGCAGGCAGAAGGCUUCCCCUGCAAUGCUGUAUCAGG